UCAGUGACAGUGCGAACGUGAUUCACGUCCUCAGCAGGUCAUUGGCGAACGAGGGAUGCCAGGACAUGAAUCACGCUCACCCUGUGAUUCGUUCAUGAUUUGCGAACAUGAGCAUGAUUUUACUGUGCACAGAGGACACUUUCAUUCAUAAUUUUAUUGCAUAUAUACCACUCAGAGCAGCACUGCGUCUCCCGCGAAUGAUUGCGCACCGUCCCUGAGUAAGUGAACGUGAACCUAAGGGCUGAAUUAUUAACUAAAUGACGGAUCGUUUGGCUGCUUAUCAGUUCAGGGAGUUGGAGAGCACUGAACGAUUCGGUGAACAAAUCUUUUGAACAAAUCAUUUUAAUGAACGGAUUCUAGAGAUUCAGUGCAGUAAAAAGAACUGCCGUUCCCAUCACUAAUCAAUGUAGAUCAGGAGGAGAACAAGUGUUGGCUGAUUUGUAUUGACAGAUUGUCACACUCCACAGCCAAUGGUAUCGUUGACAGUGUGUGCGCGCCUGACCAGUGACAGUGUAGUGACCCACACAGGGCGGGAUCUAAACUCGGAGCAGUGCUAAAGUUUAGCUGCUUAGCUAGCAAGGACUCGUCACACGGCUAUGUUAUCAAAUAGUUUUUGAGUUUAAUCAACACGUGAGAACUCGUCUGGCACGGAGAGUCUCCUGUUGUGUGCUACAUGUGUGAAAUAACAACUAUAGUCUGGACUUUGUCUGCAGUGUAUCUGUGUAAACGGCUUCAUUCAGCGUCUCUCCCUCCCAUCUGGCACCGUCAGUUACCAUGGCUACAGGAACGCCCUGAAACUUUAAAAUGAUCAAUAAGAAGUUUUUGGUUAGUUUGACUGUACAAAAUCAUGAAUGUAGCCGGAUUGUAGCUCAAUGCUGAAAUCCUGUAUUAUAACAUAGAACAAAUGUAAAGCCUCAGAGCUUCUUUGAUUAUUAACAGUAUGUUAGUGAUGACAGAAAGCUGAUAACUUGCCAUCAGACUGAUAAGAAUGCAAAAGUUGCUGUUUGUAUGAUGUAUUUUUCUGUUAAAUGAUAAGAGGCUCACUUUAAACAAUAUUAUUGAUAAUAAUAAUUAAUGAUAAUGAAGAGGUAGAAAAAUUGUGUACUGAAACGUUCUGUAGAUGGUUGAUUAUUUGAAAGAGUAAAACUUGAGAGAAGCUUGACAAAAAAAAGUUUGAUUUCAUGGAUUGAAAAUUACAUUGAAAAGACAAAAAACAUUUUAGGUGUGAAUAGAACAGCUGUUCAGAUCCUCCUGUAAAAUGCUGUUUUUCAAAUAUUUAAUUUGAUAUCUGUAUCUGCCAACCUUCCUUGUGAGGUCUGAUGAGUUGGGAGCACAAACCAGACCACCCUUCCUCCUUGCUCUUGGACAGCAAAAAAACAAGAUCCAAGGUUCUACAUUGUCCUGGAUCAAAAGGCUCAUCAUGUCUUCUGGCUCAACCACAAUGACAUGCUCCAUGGCUUUUACACGUUCCUUCAGACAACAGUCCACCACAUCGAUGCUGAGACCACAAAGAAGACCCCACAUGUGAAGGAACUUCGUAUGCACCUGCUGCAGUGGGAAAACGAAGUUGACACAGAGUUGCAGCAAGAAAACGGACUUCCCACCGAGCUGUUUGGGUAAAGCAUGUACCUAUGUUUUGUUUGUAAGGAGUACCAGAACACAAUUUAUAUUUUAUGUCGACAUUUAAAGUUUCAAUAUUGACUCUACUUGAACUUGAGGUACACAUGGAGCAGCUUACCUACUUUAAACCAUUUGAUGGACAGUAUUCAAAGGAGAACAGAGACCACGGAUGCCUUGUUCCAUAUUAUUUUAUUUUGGAUAUGUAAUGUGUAUGUAUGUAUAAUGUAGUUGCUUCAACCUGUUUUAUAUACUUGUAUAUGCUUUAAAGUGUUGUCUAUAGAGGCCAGUAUUGCCUGUAUUGUAUGAUACCACACCUGAUGACGUUGCUAGCAUGACAGUGUUGUGUUACAGCCUAUUUGAGUUGCUGGUCCUAUUUUGU